rnacentral:rRNA from 1 species
GUCCACGCUGUAACGAUGAUCACUCGUGAUCGGCGACAUACGGUCGGUCACCUAGCGAAGCGUUAAGUGAUCCACCUGGGAGUACGACCGCAAGGUUGAACUCAAGGAAUUGACGGGCCCGGCACAAGCGGUGGAGCAUGUGGUUUAAUUCGAUGAUACGCGAGGAACCUUACCAGGGCUCGAACGCACGACGACAGGGUGGAACAUCCUCUUCUUCGGACGGCGUGCGAGGUGCUGCAUGGCUGUCGU